rnacentral:lncRNA from 1 species
GGAGCCAACCCGCUCUGGGCGAAUGAGCAACUGCUUGGGAAAUAUCAAGAUGCCUGGAAAAGCAUCGAUCAGGGUGAAUCGGUGACUUACGUCCUCGCAAAGACAACGUACGAAAAUGACACAGGAUCAUGGGGAGCCCAGUUUAAGUGCCUGCAGGUGCAAGAAACCGAAAGAAA